AGUGAACGCUGGCGGUAGGCCUAACACAUGCAAGUCGAACGGCAGCACAGUAAGAGCUUGCUCUUACGGGUGGCGAGUGGCGGACGGGUGAGGAAUACAUCGGAAUCUACUUUUUCGUGGGGGAUAACGUAGGGAAACUUACGCUAAUACCGCAUACGACCUACGGGUGAAAGCAGGGGAUCUUCGGACCUUGCGCGAUUGAAUGAGCCGAUGUCGGAUUAGCUAGUUGGCGGGGUAAAGGCCCACCAAGGCGACGAUCCGUAGCUGGUCUGAGAGGAUGAUCAGCCACACUGGAACUGAGACACGGUCCAGACUCCUACGGGAGGCGGCAGUGGGGAAUAUUGGACAAUGGGCGCAAGCCUGAUCCAGCCAUACCGCGUGGGUGAAGAAGGCCUUCGGGUUGUAAAGCCCUUUUGUUGGGAAAGAAAAGCAGCAGGUUAAUACCCUGCUGUUCUGACGGUACCCAAAGAAUAAGCACCGGCUAACUUCGUG
rnacentral:rRNA from 1 species